GCCAGGCGCUGUGGCGUGUGCCUGUAGUCCCAGCUACUCGGGAGGCUGAGGUGGGAGGAUCGCUUGAGUCCAGGAGUUCUGGGCUGCAGUGCUCUGUGCAGAUUGGGUGUUUGCACUAAGUUCGGUGACCUCCCGGGAGCGGGGGAUCACCAGGAAGGGUGAACCUGCCCAGGUCGGAAACGGAGCAGGUCAAAACUUCCUUACUGAUCAGUAGUGGGAUUGGGCUUGUGAAUAGCCACUGAACUCCAGCCUGGGCAACAUAGUGAGACUGUCUCUA
ensembl:misc_RNA Metazoa_SRP Metazoan signal recognition particle RNA